AAGAGAGCUAGGGGGUGAAAGUUAGGAUUAAAAAUAGAGACAAGGACUAGGAGAGAUUUUAGGAUUUUUAGUUUAGCCCUUGAGGAAUUAGGUUUAGAUGGUUUAAUAAGGAUGGGGAAGCAGCUAAAGAAAAAAAAAUAAGAAAGAAGAGGACGCGUGAAAGAAGGAGAAAAAAAAAAGAAGAAGGUUGUGCGUGAAGUAGCAGGAAGAGAGGGAGAGCGGAUCGGCUUCGGAGAAUUCGAUCGGGAACGGGGAGCUGCACUCAAUCCAAAGGUAAUUAGGAGGAGUAGUCUAUAGCCUUUAUUUCGAGUUGGAGUCCUUGCUCUGAUACGUAGCACUCGGGGGGGAAAUGGACGCUUGUUUUCCUUCUGUUAUAAUUUGAAUUAAGUUGUUAUUUGAGAAGUUGUUUCUGUUUUAAGUUGUGGGCAAGAUACUAUGUUUUCUUUAAGUUUUAAAGACACUGGAUUCGCUGCAUAACUAUUUGUCAAAGUGAACUAGUUCAAAGACUAAUUAACUGUCACAAGAGCAUUUAAGUUUAUUUAUGAGUUCAUCUCAAAGUUUAUGUGCUAUGUAUCUGUUACAGGAGCAUUAUGAUAAUGUUUUAAGUGAUUAUGUAAUGCCCCAUGAGUGUUAGAAUU